rnacentral:rRNA from 1 species
CAUGCCGUAAACGUUGGGUGCUAGACGUGGGGGCCUUUCCACGGUUUCCGUGUCGUAGCUAACGCAUUAAGCACCCCGCCUGGGGAGUACGGCCGCAAGGCUAAAACUCAAAGGAAUUGACGGGGGCCCGCACAAGCGGCGGAGCAUGCGGAUUAAUUCGAUGCAACGCGAAGAACCUUACCAGGGCUUGACAUUGAGUGAAAGACUAAGAGAUUAGUUCCUCAUCUUCGGAUGACACAAAAACAGGUGG